rnacentral:rRNA from 1 species
AGAGUUUGAUCCUGGCUCAGAUUGAACGCUGGCGGAAUGCUUUACACAUGCAAGUCGAACGGCAGCACGGGAGCUUGCUCCUGGUGGCGAGUGGCGAACGGGUGAGUAACACAUCGGAACAUGCCUAGUCGUGGGGGAUACCGUAGCGAAAGUUACGUUAAUACCGCAUACGUCCUGAGGGAGAAAGCAGGGGAUUCGCAAGAACCUUGCGCGAUUAGAGUGGCCGAUGCCUGAUUAGCUUGUUGGUGAGGUAAUGGCUCACCAAGGCGACGAUCAGUAGCGGGUCUGAGAGGAUGAUCCGCCACACUGGAACUGAGACACGGUCCAGACUCCUACGGGAGGCAGCAGUGGGGAAUUUUGGACAAUGGGGGCAACCCUGAUCCAGCCAUUCCGCGUGAGUGAAGAAGGCCUUCGGGUUGUAAAGCUCUUUCAGCGGGAACGAAACGGUACGCUCUAACAUAGUGUGCUAAUGACGGUACCCGCAGAAGAAGCACCGGCUAACUACGUGCCAGCAGCCGCGGUAAUACGUAGGGUGCGAGCGUUAAUCGGAAUUACUGGGCGUAAAGCGUGCGCAGGCGGGUUGUUAAGCAAGAUGUGAAAUCCCCGGGCUUAACCUGGGAAUGGCAUUUUGAACUGGCAGUCUAGAGUGUGUCAGAGGGGGGUAGAAUUCCACGUGUAGCAGUGAAAUGCGUAGAGAUGUGGAGGAAUACCGAUGGCGAAGGCAGCCCCCUGGGAUAACACUGACGCUCAUGUACGAAAGCGUGGGUAGCAAACAGGAUUAGAUACCCUGGUAGUCG